rnacentral:rRNA from 1 species
AUGGAUUGGCUGGCUCUCACCUGCCGCGCCGCGGUGCUGAUCCUCCUGUUCCUGCCGUUCGGUGCUUCCGACGACCGGCUUGUCCCCGGCAAGCCGCUCUCCCCCGGCAAUACCAUCAUCUCCGAUGGCGGUGCUUUCGCCUUGGGCUUCUUCUCCCCAAACAACUCCACCAGUACUCCGGCCAAGUUGUACCUUGGCAUAUGGUACAACGACAUUCUAGAGCUCACCGUGGUGUGGGUCGCCAACCGAGAAACCCCGGUGAUCAACAGCUCUUCCUCUUCACCGAUGCUCUCACUCACCAACACCUCCAAUCUCAUUCUCUCUAAUGGCGAUGGCAGCGGCCGUGUCCUCUGGACGACGACCAACCUAUCCGCUGCCCCCGGCUUAUCUACCCCUGUGGCGGUGCUUUUGAACACGGGCAACCUUGUUAUCCGGUCGUCAAAGGGCACCACGCUGUGGCAGAGCUUCGACCACCACACCGACACGUUCAUCCCUGGCAUGAAGCUCCGGGUCAAGUACAACACUCAUGAUCGCGGUGAGCGCCUCGUAUCCUGGGAGGGCCCGGACGACCCCUCGCUGGGCCGCUUCUCUUUCGGAAUCGAUCCCACCACAUUUCUCCAGAUGUUCCUUUGGGAUGGGGCGCGCCCGGUGUUCCGCACCGCCCCAUGGACAGGGUACCUUGUGACGAGUGAGCGCCGGUACCAACAGGCGAACGCCAGUACGGACGUCAUCAUCUACUGGGCCAUCGUUGGCAGCGACAAGGAGAUCUACCUCACAUAUAGCCUCUCCGAUGGCGCCCCGCACACUAGGUACGUGGUGACCUACUCCGGCGAGUUCCAAAUCCAGAGUUGGAAUAACAGGUUGUUGGCGUGGGAAGUCCUCGUGAAGUGGCCCUUCGUUCAAUGCAGCGUGUACGGCUAUUGCGGUCCAUACGGCUACUGUGAUCAGACGGCAGCACCUGUCCCAACGUGCAAGUGCCUAGAUGGUUUCAAGCCGGCUAGCACAGAGGAGUGGACCGGUGGCAGGUUCUCUAUGGGAUGCCGACGGAAGGAGCCGUUGGGCGGGUGCGGUGAUGGUUUCUUGGCCUUGUCGGGGAUGAAGCCGCCCGACAAGUUCACACUCGUCGGCGGGGGCAAGAGUACGUUCGAGGAGUGCGCAGCGGAGUGCAAACGUAACUGCUCUUGUGUGGCGUAA